rnacentral:rRNA from 1 species
UACGUAGGGUGCAAGCGUUUGUCCGGAAUUAUUGGGCGUAAAGAGCUCGUAGGCGGUCUGUCGCGUCGGCUGUGAAAUCCCGGAGCUCAACUCCGGGUCUGCAGUCGAUACGGGCAAACUGGAGUACUGCAGGGGAGACUGGAAUUCCUGGUGUAGCGGUGAAAUGCGCAGAUAUCAGGAGGAACACCGGUGGCGAAGGCGGGUCUCUGGGCAGUAACUGACGCUGAGGAGCGAAAGCGUGGGGAGCGAACAGG